GAAGAACAUCUCGUGACGCCUAAGGACAGUUGACUAGCUAGCUAAAUAACGUUAAGCAAAUCGCUUUACUAUUUUUAAAUGUUAGCUGGUUAACGUUACUGUUUGUAACUUGACAAUGUUAACUUUCUGUCUCCCUUUAUUGUUCGUGUUACCGGACAACUGUGGGGCACUUUUAUUGUCCAUGUAAUGUUAGUUGGGCAAAUCUAAAGUUGUCUGCCAACUUAAAUAACGUAACGUUAGCUAGUCCAACGUUAGCGUCCGUCAACUAACUUGAAGACCCUAACGUUAACUCUGAAGGCAUUAUUGACACAUGGCCGUUCCUAAGAUAACAUCAACUCACCUUGGCUUUCAACUGGGACCACAGAGACGCCGACUGGGUUUUUAUAGAGACACAUGAUGAGCUGUUCUCUCCAGUGGAUUCCACAGGACAACAUUUAUAUGUGGGACCACACAGCAGGACUUCUCUCUGCUGUCUGGUUCCUGAAAGAUGUUGAUGACAUCACUCACCCUCAAGCUCCACUAGCACAUGUGCCCCACAACAUUAGACAUUAAACCCUCCUGUCCAUCUUCAGUACCUUAAGCAACACACACACACACACACACAAUGAUAUCCCCAUAGACACAUAGGGUGGUUUGUGCCCAUAUUCAUAUUACUUAAAAGUGAAAGUAUGCAAGCUAUCUACUUGUAAGAACACACAUAAAAGUAGUGGAACUUGCUAUUACAUUGAAAUUGCAUUAUGCGAUUACAAAAUGUGGAACUUCAUAAUGGUCAUUUUCCAGACAAAGCUGAAUGGUACAGUUCAAUUCUUGUCAAAUCCGUGUGGUUUAGAUAUAUUUUUUAAAGAUAUAUAUUGUUUUCAGCAAUAGUAGCAGUACUUAUUCAAUUUAUGAGAAGGUGUUACAGCAGGUCGCACGCACGGGUCCGCAUAUCGUCAUGUCGAAGUUCCUCCACUGAAGGUCAGACCUCCACCUAGCGUAGCGGCUUGCCGCUCAAGAAACGCUCGGUCCGAUGAGUGAUUGCCGACUAUUGGCUUGCGGAUUGUCUGCAGCCGGAGGCCCGACCGCGGCAAUCCGCUGACGGCGUGCCACCGCAAAAAUGCUGGCGGACCGACAGGUCAUUGUUGGCUGGGAACAGUGCGGUAGUAUCUAACAAUUAACAACAAUACACACAUCUAAAAGUAAAGAAUGGAAUUAAGAAAUAUAUAAAUAUUACGACGAGCAAUG